ensembl:miRNA
UUAGUUUGGUGCAAAAGUAAUUGUGGUUUUUGCCAUUAAAGGCAACAGCGAAAACCACAGUUAAUUUUGCACCAACCUAAUA